rnacentral:rRNA from 1 species
CCUACGGGGGGCAGCAGUGAGGAAUAUUGGUCAAUGGGCGGGAGCCUGAACCAGCCAAGCCGCGUGAGGGAAGAAGGUACAGCGUGUCGUAAACCUCUUUUGUCAGGGGACAAAGGCGGGGACUAGUCCCCGGCUGAGGGUACCUGAAGAAAAAGCAUCGGCUAACUCCGUGCCAGCAGCCGCGGUAAUACGGAGGAUGCGAGCGUUAUCCGGAUUUAUUGGGUUUAAAGGGUGCGCAGGCGGCCUGUUAAGUCAGCGGUAAAAGCCCGGGGCUCAACCCCGGCGAGCCGUUGAAACUGGCGGGCUGGAGUUGGAGAGAGGUACGCGGAAUGCGCGGUGUAGCGGUGAAAUGCUUAGAGAUCGCGCAGAACCCCGAUUGCGAAGGCAGCGUACCGGCUCCACACUGACGCUGAGGCACGAAAGCGUGGGUAUCGAACAGGAGUAGAUACCCGGGUAGUC